rnacentral:rRNA from 1 species
UACGGAGGGUCCAAGCGUUAUCCGGAAUCAUUGGGUUUAAAGGGUCCGUAGGCGGUUUAAUAAGUCAGUGGUGAAAGCCCAUCGCUCAACGAUGGAACGGCCAUUGAUACUGUUAAACUUGAAUUAUUAGGAAGUAACUAGAAUAUGUAGUGUAGCGGUGAAAUGCUUAGAGAUUACAUGGAAUACCAAUUGCGUAGGCAGCUUACUACUCGAUCAUUGACGCUGAGGCACGAAAGCGUGGGGAGCAAACAGG